CUUACUUUAGCCACAACUUCACCGUUGAGAAAACACAGUAUAUGAUUGCCCAUCAUAACGUUUAGGGUUAGGGUGUCAUGAAAAAACCCCAUCAAACAUCAACACAAUAUAUCUAUUCUAUAUAUAUCUACAACAGACUUGGAUAGUCGUGUGCAAGAAUAACCUAUUUACGUGGCUUAAAACAAGUAAUUUAACAGAUAUUUCUUUCAUAGACAGUCCCGCAAAGCACGCUGGGAUGUGCGCCUAUCGACUCUACAUUAUGAAGAGGACAAGGAACUGCUGAUUAUGAUGCGGGCGAGGGAGGAUGUCAAUUAAGGGCCUCAAUUCUUUCAUUUCUUCUCCUUCAAAAUUAUUUUUAUGUCAAUCUUGGCUAUGUUAUUUGUAUCAUGUGUCAUUUGUGUGCUCUCAACAUACACUUGUCAGUCCCAAAUACAGUCAACUUCAUCUAUGUAUGUCCGUCACAGGCCACCGUACUGAUCCGCCAGUCAGCGAUGACGUUACGUGAAAUACAACUAAUCAAAUAAAAACUCUUUUUUCACAGCACCCUACGAACGGUGCCCAAGGUGCUUCAGGAAAGUAUUAGAAAGUAUUUAAGUACUUCGAAAGUAUUAUUUCUCUUGUUAUAGUGUGUAAAAUCAUUGUGAAACACGACGUCACAUCCGCGCUGAAACUUCCUGUUUGCACUUCCUGGUUUCGUCCGGAACAUGGCGCCGACCAUCCCAAUCACGCCGUGUCAAUCUGUUUGCAGCCAAGCUCAAGUAUUCUACAGGGAAUGCCGUAAGCAUGUGUUUGGCCAGCUAUUGUCGGCCGGGUUGAGCGUGAACCAGGAAGUGCGGGGAUCUCGUGUGUUCUCUCGUUGCUGGGUAGUGGAAAAAGAAAGUUGCCGGGAAGCAGCAGGCAACCGUCUUUCUUUCCCUGACGAAAUCAGGCCGCCCCUUACCACGCAUCGUUUUCAUUGGCGCCAACCUCAUUCGGCAUCGAGUCGGCGUUCCAACACCCUGACGGAGAACACCGGAGUUGCCAUCUAACUCUGACGCCACACAAGCAAUGCUACAAGAUGAAAAGCCGCUUGGCGCUUAACAGCCCGUGGGAUCCCUCUGCAUCCAUCUCAACAUGAGCUCCAAAUCGUCAUGUGAUGCCAUACGUUCUCCAGUGGACUGUUUCACCUAUUGCACGCACAAGACGCCAUUUUCUGGAGCUUCAACCUUUUGCGUCCAUCAGCAGUCUGUCGGCCCCCGGGGAAGGACUCAUGUAACCGUGUUGGCACACCAUCAACAACAUGGCCUCGGCGUUCUUCACAGGUGACCACCAGAUGGCGGAAAUUCCCAAGUAUAGUUGCAGUAAUUUCAAGUGUCCACUAGAUGGCGGAAUAUCCCAAGGUAAGUUGCACUGCUUCUAAGUGACCAUCAGAUGGCGGAAUUUCACAUGUUAAGUUGCAGUACUUUUAAGUGACCACCAGAUGGCGAAAUUUCACAUUUUCAGUUGCACUGCUUUUGGUGACCACUAGAUGGCGGAAUUUCACAUUUUAAGUUGCACUGCUUUUGGUGACCACUAGAUGGCGGGAUUUCACAUUUUAAGUUGCAGUUCUUUUAAGUGACCACCAGAUGGCGGAAUUUCACAUUUUAAGUUGCACUGCUUUUGGUGACCACUAGAUGGCGGAAUUUCACAUUUUAAGUUGCAGUACUUUUAACUGACCACCAGAUGGCGAAAUUUCACAUGUUAAGUAGCACUGCUUUUGGUGACCACUAGAUGGCGGAAUUUCACAUGUUAAGUUGCACUGCUUUUAAGUCACCACUAGAUGGCGAAAUUUCACAUGUUAAGUUGCACUGCUUUUAAGUCACCACUAGAUGGCGAAAUUUCACAUGUUAAGUUGCACUGCUUUUGGUGACCACUAGAUGGCGGGAUUUCACAUGUUAAGUUGCACUGCUUUUAAGUGACCACCAGAUGGCGGAAUUUCACAUGUUAAGUUGCACUGCUUUUGGUGACCACUAGAUGGCGGGAUUUCACAUGUUAAGUUGCAGUACUUUUAAGUCACCACUAGAUGGCGGAAUUUCACAUGUUAAGUUGCACUGCUUUUGGUGACCACUAGAUGGCGGGAUUUCACAUGUUAAGUUGCAGUACUUUUAAGUCACCACUAGAUGGCGAAAUUUCACAUUUUAAGUUGCACUGCUUUUGGUGACCACUAGAUGGCGGAAUUUCACAUGUUAAGUUGCACUGCUUUUGGUGACCACCAGAUGGCGGAAUUCCACAUGUUAAGUUGCAGUACUUUUAAGUGACCACCAGAUGGCGAAAUUUCACAUGUUAAGUUGCACUGCUUUUGGUGACCACUAGAUGGCGGGAUUUCACAUGUUAAGUUGCACUGCUUUUAAGUGACCACCAGAUGGCGGAAUUUCACAUGUUAAGUUGCACUGCUUUUGGUGACCACUAGAUGGCGGGAUUUCACAUGUUAAGUUGCAGUACUUUUAAGUCACCACUAGAUGGCGGAAUUUCACAUGUUAAGUUGCACUGCUUUUGGUGACCACUAGAUGGCGGGAUUUCACAUGUUAAGUUGCAGUACUUUUAAGUCACCACUAGAUGGCGGAAUUUCACAUGUUAAGUUGCACUGCUUUUGGUGACCACCAGAUGGCGGAAUUCCACAUGUUAAGUUGCAGUACUUUUAAGUGACCACCAGAUGGCGAAAUUUCACAUGUUAAGUUGCACUGCUUUUGGUGACCACUAGAUGGCGGGAUUUCACAUGUUAAGUUGCAGUACUUUUAAGUCACCACUAGAUGGCGAAAUUUCACAUUUUAAGUUGCACUGCUUUUGGUGACCACCAGAUGGCGGAAUUUCACAUUUUAAGUUGCACUGCUUUUGGUGACCACUAGAUGGCGGAAUUUCACAUUUUAAGUUGCACUGCUUUUAAGUGACCACCAGAUGGCGGAAUUUCACAUUUUAAGUUGCACUGCUUUUGGUGACCACCAGAUGGCGGAAUUUCACAUUUUAAGUUGCAGUACUUUUAACUGACCACCAGAUGGCGAAAUUUCACAUGUUAAGUAGCACUGCUUUUGGUGACCACUAGAUGGCGGAAUUUCACAUGUUAAGUUGCACUGCUUUUAAGUCACCACUAGAUGGCGAAAUUUCACAUUUGAAGUUGCACUGCUUUUAAGUCACCACUAGAUGGCGAAAUUUCACAUGUUAAGUUGCACUGCUUUUGGUGACCACUAGAUGGCGAAAUUUCACAUGUUAAGUUGCACUGCUUUUGGUGACCACCAGAUGGCGGAAUUUCACAUGUUAAGUUGCACUGCUUUUGGUGACCACUAGAUGGCGAAAUUUCACAUUUUAAGUUGCACUGCUUUUGGUGACCACUAGAUGGCGGAAUUUCACAUGUUAAGUUGCAGUACUUUUAAGUCACCACUAGAUGGCGAAAUUUCACAUUUUAAGUUGCACUGCUUUUGGUGACCACUAGAUGGCGGGAUUUCACAUGUUAAGUUGCAGUACUUUUAAGUCACCACUAGAUGGCGGAAUUUCACAUGUUAAGUUGCACUGCUUUUGGUGACCACUAGAUGGCGGAAUUUCACAUGUUAAGUUGCAGUACUUUUAAGUCACCACCAGAUGGCGAAAUUUCACAUGUUAAGUUGCAGUACUAUUAAGUCACCACUAGAUGGCGAAAUUUCACAUGUUAAGUUGCACUGC